AUGGAAAAAAUACACAAUUUGUACUACGACGGACGCUUGGCUAAAGGAGGUAGCGUUCGCAAACAUUCAGUGCACCAGCUCAUUGAUGAUGGUACUUGGACAUGGAAAACGGAGCUUGUCCGUGCGACAUUCCUAGCCCCGAAUGCAAAAGCUAUAUUGAAUAUACCAAUACGUACUGGUGGUGGGGAUGAUUUCUUUGCCUGGGCUUUUGAAAAUUCAGGCAUGUGCUCUGUAAAGUCGGCGUACCAUGCUCUCGUGAAUCAAAAAGAGUGUGUUGCUCUAGAGGAAGGGACAGUUACCGGUACCUUAAAAUCAAAACAACAGAUGUGGAUAUCUCUCUGGAAGCUCAAAGUUGUGCCUAAGGUGAGGGUAUUUUGGUGGAGAGUGCUACGUGGAAUUCUCCCCGAUGAAGCUACCCUGAAGCAUAAACACAUUAAACCUCUUAGCAUUUGUAAUGUUUGCUUGUCUAGAGAGGAAGAUCUCAUGCAUGCAUUGGUCUCAUGUUUCCAUGCACACAGAUUCUGGGAUGAAGCGCAAAUAUGGUCGGACUUCCUUCUUCCAAGGCUGCAUCGUACCACUUGGGCAAGAGAUAUUUUAUGUGAUGAUAGGUUCACAUAUCAAGUUAGAGAAAAGAUCAUAUCGGUGAUGUGGGCUAUUUGGCAUUGA
rnacentral:rRNA from 1 species